GACGAACGCUGGCGGCGUGCUUAACACAUGCAAGUCGAACGGUGAAAGGGAGCUUGCUCCCUGGAUCAGUGGCGAACGGGUGGGUAACACGUGGGCAACCUGCCCCAGACUUCGGGAUAACGCUUCGAAAGGAGUGCUAAUACCGGAUACGAACUCUUUGGGCAUCCUUGGGGGUGGAAAGUUUUUCGGUCUGGGAUGGGCCCGCGGCCUAUCAGCUUGUUGGUGAGGUAACGGCUCACCAAGGCGACGACGGGUAGCCGGCCUGAGAGGGCGACCGGCCACACUGGGGCUGAGACACGGCCCAGACUCCUACGGGAGGCAGCAGUGGGGAAUAUUGCGCAAUGGGCGAAAGCCUGACGCAGCAACGCCGCGUGAGGGAUGACGGCCUUCGGGUUGUAAACCUCUUUCAGCAGGGAAGAAGCGAAAGUGACGGUACCUGCAGAAGAAGCACCGGCUAACUACGUGCCAGCCGCCGCAGUAA
rnacentral:rRNA from 1 species